rnacentral:rRNA from 1 species
UCGGGAAUAUUGGACAAUGGGGGCAACCCUGAUCCAGCAACUCCGCGUGAGCGAUGAAGGCCCUCGGGUCGUAAAGCUCUGUCAGAGGGGAAGAAAACCUUCGGGCGAAUAGUCCGUUGGCUUGACGGUACCCUCAAAGGAAGGUCCGGCUAACUCCGUGCCAGCAGCCGCGGUAAUACGGAGGGACCAAGCGUUGUUCGGAAUUAUUGGGCGUAAAGCGGGUGUAGGCGGCUUUGCAAGUCAAGUGUGAAAUCCCAGGGCCCAACCCUGGAACUGCACUCGAUACUGCAUCGCUCGAGUCCCGGAGAGGAUGGCGGAAUUCCAGGUGUAGAGGUGAAAUUCGUAGAUAUCUGGAGGAACACCAGUGGCGAAGGCGGCCAUCUGGACGGUGACUGACGCUCAGACCCGAAAGCGUGGGGAGCAAACAGGAUUAGAUACCCCCGUAGUCC